rnacentral:rRNA from 1 species
GACGAACGCUGGCGGCGUGCUUAACACAUGCAAGUCGAACGGAAAGGCCCUUCUUUUGUGGGGUGCUCGAGUGGCGAACGGGUGAGUAACACGUGAGUAACCUGCCCUUGACUUUGGGAUAACUUCAGGAAACUGGGGCUAAUACCGGAUAGGAGCUCCUGCUGCAUGGUGGGGGUUGGAGAGUUUCGGCGGUUGGGGAUGGACUCGCGGCUUAUCAGCUUGUUGGUGGGGUAGUGGCUUACCAAGGCGUUGACGGGUAGCCGGCCUGAGAGGGUGACCGGCCACAUUGGGACUGAGAUACGGCCCAGACUCCUACGGGAGGCAGCAGUGGGGAAUAUUGCACAAUGGGCGGAAGCCUGAUGCAGCAACGCCGCGUGCGGGAUGACGGCCUUCGGGUUGUAAACCGCUUUCGCCUGUGACGAAGCGUGAGUGACGGUAAUGGGUAAAGAAGCACCGGCUAACUACGUG